UACGAAGGGGGCUAGCGUUGUUCGGAAUUACUGGGCGUAAAGGGCGCGUAGGCUGUGCUGUAAGUCAGGCGUGAAAGCCCCGGGCUCAACCUGGGAAUUGCGCUUGAUACUGCGGCGCUGGAAGGUGGGAGAGGAUGGCGGAAUUCCCAGUGUAGAGGUGAAAUUCGUAGAUAUUGGGAAGAACACCGGUGGCGAAGGCGGCCAUCUGGCCCAGCACUGACGCUCAUGCACGAAAGCGUGGGGAGCAAACAGG
rnacentral:rRNA from 1 species